UAGUGGCGGACGGGUGAGUAACGCGUGGGUAACCUGCCUUAUACAGGGGGAUAACAACUGGAAACAGUUGCUAAUACCCCAUAAGCGCCCGGCACCGCAUGGUGCUGAGUGAAAAUAUUUAUAGGUAUAAGAUGGACCCGCGUCUGAUUAGCUAGUUGGUAGGGUAAGGGCCUACCAAGGCGAUGAUCAGUAGCCGGCUUGAGAGAGUGACCGGCCACAUUGGGACUGAGACACGGCCCAAACUCCUACGGGAGGCAGCAGUGGGGAAUCUUGCACAAUGGGGGAAACCCUGAUGCAGCGACGCCGCGUGAGUGAAGAAGUAUUUCGGUAUGUAAAGCUCUAUCAGCAGGGACGAUAAUGACGGUACCUGACUAAGAAGCCCCGGCUAACUACGUGCCAGCAGCCGCGGUAAUACGUAGGGGGCAAGCGUUAUCCGGAUUUACUGGGUGUAAAGGGAGUGUAGGUGGCGAAGUAAGUUGGAUGUGAAAUUCCGGGGCUUAACC
rnacentral:rRNA from 1 species